GGGCACUGUGACCUUGGGUGGAGACUGGUCUGGUUCUGCCAUGGCUAAUCCUCCCCUCUCCAAGGAUCCCCUGUUUUCUCUUGCAGAUUUGCUAAAUGACCGCGCAGUCUGUCAUCUGCGGUGUUCGCGUGACCCUCAGCGCCCUCCCCACCCGGCAGGCCCUUUCCCGCCGAAUGGGUGCGGCUGGAUUAUUGAGGGAGUGGAGGGUCGCUUAGGGCACGGGCACGAGAGGCGAGGGCGAGACGUGGCUAAUGGGGAUCAAGAGUCAGAAUGGACCCGCCAAACUUUGCCCCGAGCCAGAACGGGCUCCCUACCCGCGUCCUCGACCCAUGGGUCCUCACCUCCAGGCUGGUGUCCUCAUUUUACAGUGGAGGAGGCCGAGACCAAGGGGCUUGGCGGGGACGGAACGGUGAGGUCAGAGAAUGCUGCAGAGGGGACAUUGGGACCAGGUCUUGCAGUGAGUUGAAGUGCUCCAGGCAGAGAGCGCCGGUGGGUCUUUCCUGGCCAGGCCGCAGGGGGCCUUUGGGAAGCACCCGAGGCCUAUAACCUUCGGAGCGUUUGUCAAGCUCUAAUGAGAACUGGAAAGCUUCAGCUUCCCGAGGUGGGCUGGGAGGGCCUUAGGUAGGGCCUCGCACAAAUUGCGAAGGAAAGCCGACCUUGUUCUGGAGAGCACGUGGUGAGGAAAGCCAGCGACUUGAUGUGAGCAUUUAAACGGGAGGAAGGAAGAUGAGAACUGGUAAGAUUCUUCUCGGCCGGGCGGUGCAGCGGCUCACGCCUGUAAUCCUAGCACUUUGGGAGGCCGAAGCCAGGCGGAUGACUUGAGUUCAGGAUUCGGAAGUUUGAGACCAACCUGGGCAACAUUUCAAAACCCCCGUCUCUACAAAAAAUAUUGUUUAAAAAAAGCCAGGUGUAGUGGCACGCGCCUGUAGUCCCAGCUACUUGGGAGCUGAGCUGGGAGUAUCACUCAGGACGGCUCAGAUUGAGCCCAGGAGUUCCAAGCUGCAGUGAGCUAUGAUCGCACCACUGCACUCCUGCCUGGGUGACACAGACACCGUCUCAAAAAAAAAAAAAAAAAAAAAGCCGGGCGCGGUGGCUCACGCCUGUAAUUCCAGCACUUUGGGAGGCAGAGGCGGGCGGAUCACGAGGUCAGGAAUUAGAGACCAGCCUGGCCAAGAUGGUGAAACCCCGUCUCUACUAAAAAUACAAAAAUUAGCUGCGCAUGGUGGUGUGCGCCUGUAGUCCCAGCUACUCGGGUGGCUGAGGCAGAAGAAUCGCUUGAACCCAGGAGGUGGAGGUUGCGGUGAGCCGAGAUCGCGCCAUUGCACUCCAGCUUGGGCAACAAGAGAGAAACUCCGUCUCAAAAAAAGAAAAAAAAAGUGUGCAUAUAUAUAUAUAGUGUGUGUAUAUAUAUAUAGUGUGUAUAUAUAGUGUGUAUAUAUAUAGUGUGUGUAUAUAUAUAGUGUGUAUAUAUAUAAGUGUAUAUAUAAAAUAUAUAUAUUUAUAAUCAAUAUAUA
rnacentral:lncRNA from 1 species